AUACUGCAAGUCGAGCGAAUGGAUUAAGAGCUUGCUCUUAUGAAGUUAGCGGCGGACGGGUGAGUAACACGUGGGUAACCUGCCCAUAAGACUGGGAUAACUCCGGGAAACCGGGGCUAAUACCGGAUAACAUUUUGAACCGCAUGGUUCGAAAUUGAAAGGCGGCUUCGGCUGUCACUUAUGGAUGGACCCGCGUCGCAUUAGCUAGUUGGUGAGGUAACGGCUCACCAAGGCAACGAUGCGUAGCCGACCUGAGAGGGUGAUCGGCCACACUGGGACUGAGACACGGCCCAGACUCCUACGGGAGGCAGCAGUAGGGAAUCUUCCGCAAUGGACGAAAGUCUGACGGAGCAACGCCGCGUGAGUGAUGAAGGCUUUCGGGUCGUAAAACUCUGUUGUUAGGGAAGAACAAGUGCUAGUUGAAUAAGCUGGCACCUUGACGGUACCUAACCAGAAAGCCACGGCUAACUACGUGCCAGCAGCCGCGGUAAUACGUAGGUGGCAAGCGUUAUCCGGAAUUAUUGGGCGUAAAGCGCGCGCAGGUGGUUUCUUAAGUCUGAUGUGAAAGCCCACGGCUCAACCGUGGAGGGUCAUUGGAAACUGGGAGACUUGAGUGCAGAAGAGGAAAGUGGAAUUCCAUGUGUAGCGGUGAAAUGCGUAGAGAUAUGGAGGAACACCAGUGGCGAAGGCGACUUUCUGGUCUGUAACUGACACUGAGGCGCGAAAGCGUGGGGAGCAAACA
rnacentral:rRNA from 1 species